rnacentral:rRNA from 1 species
UCCCCUACGGGGGGCAGCAGUGAGGAAUAUUGGUCAAUGGGCGGGAGCCUGAACCAGCCAAGUCGCGUGAGGGAAGAAGGUACUGAGUAUUGUAAACCUCUUUUGCCAGGGGACAAAGGCGGCCACGGGUGGCCGUAAGAGGGUACCUGGAGAAAAAGCAUCGGCUAACUCCGUGCCAGCAGCCGCGGUAAUACGGAGGAUGCGAGCGUUAUCCGGAUUUAUUGGGUUUAAAGGGAGCGUAGAUGGGUUGUUAAGUCAGUUGUG